UAUGUAUGGGGCAUUUAACUCUGGGCCGGAAUCAUUGUUGACUAGUAACAGUAAAACUUUGGAACUGUAAUUCUACUUGUGUGCUAGUUGUCGUAACAAACAAGCACAUUCGUUUAGUUACCGGUACUAUAUUUGGUUGAAUGAGCUCUUCUUUCCCCCUAAAUCUAGUUCUUCAUUUAUAGCCCUCAGCAUCAUGAAUCUGAAUUGUUUAAUUGCAUUGUUUCCAGGUGCAUCAGUUACUUAAGUUCAUUGCAAAAUUUUCAGAACAUCCAAAUGGCAAGGUAUUGCUAUGGAAAAUGGGAAUUGCACGGGUUCUUAAUAAGUUGCUAAAGAACUGCAGCAACGCAUCUUACUUGGAAGAUAAAGCGAUCUCUGAAAGAGGAGCCUACAGAAGUGACCAACUUAUGCUCAAAUGGAGGAUUCCCUUAUUCAGAUGUCUCGCAUCUAUCUUCAGUGCCCAGCCAUCUGGCAAAGAGCAGACUGCUAUUGAAGAGUCCUCAGAGAAUGCUAGCGUUGAGGAGUGCUCUUCUAUCAUGCAUCACCUCUUGGUCUUAUGCCAGGUAAAAUAACUUUCAUGUUAUCUAUGAUAAGAUGGUUGUCGGAUCGGCAGCGUUUACUUCUCUAUUUGAUUCUCAAGCUUAGCUCACUACUUCUGUAGUGAAGCCAGGAUGUGGUCUGUGUUUUGUUGUGGUUUCUUUAGUUUUACUACUCUGAAAGAUUGAUAUCAAGCUUUUGUAAUGAAAUACUAUCAAGUGUUCCCUACUCUAGAAGCCAUUUAUGAGUUGAAACUGCCCUGUGUAGUUAGUUCCUUUUUUUGGUUUCAAUAGUAGUCCUAGUUAAAAGGGUCAACAUGUUGGUGUCAUGUGUCAAGUGUCUGAGAUCAUACAUUGGAAGUUCAUACUGUCGGAGGUGGAAAACCUAAAGGAGUAGCUGAAGUUUGAAAAUGGUUUAUUAAAUACAUGAGAAGGCUAUGCUGAGAAUGAGGACACGGAAUGAUAAUAAUGUUUCUUCAGCUGUUACUUUCUUUUUCUUCUUCCUUUGACAGG